rnacentral:misc_RNA from 1 species
GCAGUGUAUAUGUACAUGAGUAGAAAAUAUAUAUUGUAGAUCAGAUACAUAUAAGGUAGGGAUGGCUGUAUAUUUAAGUUACCUUAUGUAUCUCACUGCCAUUGAAUCCGAGUUGGAAAUUGGGGUGACGACAUAAUGUCAAAGUCCAUGUAAAAGACAGUUUAUUAAACACACUGUUAACUGUAAUUUGAUAUUACUUUUCCUGUAGUCUACAAACUGUACUACUUAUUUAUGAUUUCUUUACUUUAGUAACGAAGCUUCAUCCCCCUUUAGGCAUUUCUGAAGUUUUAUUUUUUAUAAAGCAAAGUCAGUAAGCCUCCUGGAUUUUUGUCGAAUGUACUAUUCGUCAUUUUAUUUCAAUCUCAUGCUAUAUCAACUUGUUUUGGUUUUACUUGAAAUUGUUGAGGGCUUGUCCCCAAAAAUUAGAUAUUAAGAUAUAAGGGACAAAAAUAGUUUUUACUUUUGUUUUAUUCUAGAUACUGUCAGACGACUUUAAAAUAAAUCUUGUUUUUUUUAUAAUGUACACAUUGACUGUGACACAUUGUUUUACUUAUUUAUAUAACUUGUAUUGCAACAAAGCAGCUGCAUAAUUUUGUUAGCAGGAAAAUAUGUUCAUUGAAAUAAAAGACCAAAAAAU